GGGAGCGGCGGCCGUCGGGGCUGUGGAUGGGGCCGUUGCUAGGGACGUAGCAUCCGUUUGUUCCGUUGCUAGGGGCGUUGCUAGGGGCGUUGCUAGGGGAGCGGCGGCCGUCGGGGCCGUUGCUAGGGGCGUAGCAUCCGUUUGUUCCGUUGCUAGGGGCGUUGCUAAGGGCAUCCGUGUUCCAGGGCCCGUUGCUAGGGGCGUUGCCAUGGAUAUCGGUGUUCCUGGGUCCGUUGCUAGGGGCGUUGCUAAGGGCAUCCGUGGUCCAGGGUCGGUUGCUAGGGCCGUUGCCAUGGAUAUUGGUGUUCUUGGGUCGGUUGCUAAGGGCAUCCGUGUUCCUGGGUCCGUUGCUAGGGCCAUUGCCAUGGAUAUCAGUGUUCCUGGGUCCGUUGCUAGGGGCGUUGCUAAGGGCAUCCAUGGUCCAGGGUCGGUUGCUAGGGCCGUUGCCAUGGAUAUUGGUGUUCCUGGGUCCGUUGCUAGGGCCGUUGCUAAGAGCAUCCCUGCUGCUAGGACUGUUGCCAUGGGGACCGCUCCAUCCAUCACCGGGUCCGUUGCCAUGGGAACCACUCCAUCCAUCUCCAAGGCCGUUGCUAUGGGGACCACUCCAUCCAUCCCUGGGCCCGUUGCCAUGGGGACCGCUCGAUCCAUCACCGGGACCGUCGCCACGGGGACCCCCGGGCCCCUCUCCGGGGCCGUUGCCAUGGAGACCGCGCCCCCCCCCACCCCGAGGUCGGUCGCUAAGGGCGGCGGGGCGGUUUCGUCGGGCCCUGGCCAGCAGGCUGUCGCAUUCCACCACGGUGUAGCGCAGCUCGGCGUAGACGUAGGUGGCCCCCCGGCGCGGCACCCAGGUGGAACGCAGCCAGCUGUUCUGGGGGGGGCCGGGGGGGUGCAACCCCGAGCAAACCUCGAACGUCCUCACCGCCGUCUGCCGCUCCUCGUCCAGCCCGCUCAGCUCCUCC
rnacentral:lncRNA from 1 species